ensembl:lncRNA
AAACAAACACCUUGGCUGCAGGGGAAGCCAUCCAUUUCCUCAACUGGUCCAACUGGCAAAAUGUAUUAAUAAUUAUAGUUUGCAGUGGUUGUUAAAGCAGCUGGUGGAGGGAGAGCAGGUUGACCUGCCUUUUUCUUUGGGCUCCAAACAAAUGAAACACCUCUUGUUCACCGCCACAUCCUAGGCGCUGGUGCAAAGGCCUUCUCUGGAUCUUUAGAAGUCGACCUUGAACAUGGGUCCCCGCUGCCUCUGAAUGCUCAUAGGAAUGAUGCUAAAGCUGAAACUCCAGUACUUUGGCCACCUCAUGCGAAGAGUUGACUCAUUGGAAAAGACUCUGAUGCUGGGAGGGAUUGGGGGCAAGAGGAGAAGGGGACGACAGAGGAUGAGAUGGCUGGAUGGCAUCACCGACUCGAUGGAUUUAAUUAAUUUUUGGCUGCCCUGGAUCUUCACUGCUGCACACGGGCUUCUCUCUAGUCGUGGUGAGCAGAGGCUUCUCUCUAAUUGUGGCGCAUGGGCUUCUCAUCAAGGUGGCUUCUCUUGUGGAGCGUCGGCUCUAGAGCAGUGGCUCACUAGUUGUGGCUCAACAGCUUAG